rnacentral:rRNA from 1 species
CGCGCAGGCGGCUUCCCAAGUCCCUCUUAAAAGUGCGGGGCUUAACCCCGUGAUGGGAAGGAAACUGGGAAGCUGGAGUAUCGGAGAGGAAAGUGGAAUUCCUAGUGUAGCGGUGAAAUGCGUAGAGAUUAGGAAGAACACCGGUGGCGAAGGCGACUUUCUGGACGAAAACUGACGCUGAGGCGCGAAAGCGUGGGGAGCGAACA